AUAAGCGGAGGAAAAGAAACUAACAAGGAUUCCCCUAGUAACUGCGAGUGAAGCGGGAAAAGCUCAAAUUUGAAAUCCGGCAGUCUUUUUUUUCUUCUUUGGCUGUCCGAGUUGUAAUCUAGAGAAGUGCUUACCUGCACUGGACCAUGUAUAAGUCUCCUGGAAUGGAGCGUCACAGAGGGUGAGAAUCCCGUCUUUGACAUGGACCGCCAGUGUGUUGUGGUGUGCUCUCAAAGAGUCGAGUUGUUUGGGAAUGCAGCUCUAAAUGGGUGGUAAACUCCAUCUAAAGCUAAAUAUUGGCGAGAGACCGAUAGCGAACAAGUACCGUGAGGGAAAGAUGAAAAGGACUUUGGAAAGAGAGUUAAACAGUAUGUGAAAUUGUUGAAAGGGAAACGCUUGAAGUCAGUUAUGUUGGCUAGGGAUCAACCUAGCUGUUUUUUGCUGGGUGAAUUUCCUAGUCUGACAGGCCAACAUCAGUCUUGACUGCUGGAAAAGAGCAGAGGGAAUGUGGCACCUUUGGGUGUGUUAUAGCCUUUUGUCAUAUGUGGCAGUUGGGACUGAGGGAUGCAGCAUGCCGCGAGGCUGGGUUUCUGACCACGUUCAUGCUCAGGAUGUUGGCUUUUAAUGGCUUCAAUCG
rnacentral:rRNA from 1 species